GACGAAGGGGGCUAGCGUUGCUCGGAAUUACUGGGCGUAAAGCGCGCGCAGGCGGUCUUCCAAGUCAGUGGUGAAAGCCCGGAGCUCAACUCCGGAACUGCCAUUGAAACUGUAAGACUUGAGGAUGAGAGAGGUGAGUGGAAUUCCCAGUGUAGAGGUGAAAUUCGUAGAUAUUGGGAAGAACACCGGUGGCGAAGGCGGCUCACUGGCUCAUAUCUGACGCUCAGGCGCGACAGCGUGGGGAUCAAACAGG
rnacentral:rRNA from 1 species